UAAAACCGAAGGGGUUGUGUUUGUGUGGCCUUGGCUGAGCGCUCUCACUUCUACUUCUCUCCAUUAUCCUUUCCUUCGUCGACCUCUGCUUCGCUUACCAACGCUUAACAUCUCGUAGAUCUUCUUCUUCGUCGGAAAAUAGACCUUCUUCUUGUUCGAAAUCGAAUCCGAAGGGCUUCCGAACCGAAAGCAAAGAUAUAAAGAAUCGACUUGUGGACGUUUCGAGACGAUGAGCUGAAUGAGUUAACGGAUUAGCAAGAAUAUCUUCUUCUGCUUAUUUGAGAAGUUCUGAAUCGGCUUCGUGAUUUCACGGAUUGUGUUCUUUUGUUGGUCCGAUUAUUUCUAUAUUUUCCCUUUCGUUCGAGUCGAUGGGAUUUCUUUACUCCGAUGCUUUAUUGUAGAAAAUGGCUUCUGCUCCUUCUAUGUCAGUCUCCGUAGAAUGCGUGAACCUCUGUAAGUUGUCGAAAGGGGAUGGGACUAGCAGAUAUGAUUGUACCGUCCUCUCUUGCGCCUGGAAGACUCCGAGGGCCCUGACUGGCUUCCUCGCGAGUACUGCCCAUCAUUCUCACUGUUCUUCGUUGUUGGAUGGGCGGGCGGGAAGUCGAAACCGGACUAAAUCCUCGUGCUGGAGAUGUGAAGCCUCUGAUGUUGGGGACUCUGGCAACAUAGAAACUUCCUAUUCUGCAUUUUCCAGGAGGCUAAUUGGAUCUUGUUUGCUUUAUACUGAAUGUAAACGAUGGCAGUUGAGCUGUUCUACCUCUUCUUCAGAAUUCUCUGAUGCCAUAUCUCCUCAAAUGUUGUGGGAGGAUCUUAAACCGACUAUUUCAUAUCUUCCACCAAAAGAGUUGAAAUUGAUCCGUGAUGCUUUGGAGCUGGCUUUUGAGGCUCAUGAUGGUCAGAAAAGAAGAAGUGGAGAGCCCUUUAUCAUUCAUCCAGUAGAAGUUGCACGUAUACUUGGAGAACUUGAACUGGACUGGGAAUCCAUUGCUGCUGGAUUAUUACAUGACACAGUGGAAGACACAAAUGUUGUUACUUUUGAAAGCAUUGAGGAGGAGUUCGGUGCCACUGUGCGUCACAUCGUAGAAGGAGAAACUAAGGUGUCCAAGCUGGGUAAACUUCAAUGUAAAGAUGUUAACAGCUCAGCACAAGAUGUCAAAGCUGACGAUCUGCGUCAAAUGUUUCUAGCCAUGACAGAGGAGGUGCGGGUUAUCAUCGUCAAAUUAGCUGACAGGUUACACAAUAUGCGAACGCUUUCACACAUGCCCCCACAUAAGCAGUCCAGCAUUGCAUUGGAGACAUUGCAGGUCUUUGCCCCACUUGCAAAGUUACUGGGGAUGUACCAGAUUAAGUCGGAGCUGGAAAAUCUGUCCUUCAUGUACACAAAUGCUGAAGAUUAUGCAAAGAUUAAGAGAAGAAUUGCAAACCUGUAUAAAGAGCAUGAGAAAGAACUCAUAGAGGCCAAAAAGAUUUUAAUGAAAAAGAUUGAAGAUGAUCAGUUUUUGGAUCUAAUGACAGUGAAAACAAAUGUCCGCUUUGUAUGCAAAGAACCUUACAGUGUCUAUAAGGAAGUGCUGAAAUCUCAAGGUUCAAUAAAUGAGAUCAACCAAAUCGCACAGCUUCGUAUUAUCAUAAAACCAAAGCCAUGUGUUGGAGUAGGACCUCUGUGUAGUGCACAACAGAUAUGCUACCAUGUUCUUGGGCUGGUUCAUGGAAUCUGGACCCCUCUUCCUCGAGCUAUGAAAGACUAUAUUGCCACCCCAAAACCUAAUGGCUAUCAAAGUCUUCACACAACAGUAAUACCAUUUCUGUAUGAGAGUAUGUUUCGGCUUGAAGUUCAGAUAAGAACUGAAGAGAUGGAUCUGAUAGCUGAGAGAGGAAUUGCUGCUCACUACAAUGGGAGAGUAUUUGGUACUGGCUUAGUUGGACAUGCCCGGAAUGGGAAAAAUUCUAGAGGGAAAACCAUCUGUCUCAACAAUGCAAACAUUGCUCUCAGGAUUGGCUGGCUAAAUGCUAUCAGAGAAUGGCAAGAAGAGUUUGUUGGGAACAUGAGUUCUAGGGAGUUUGUUGAUACUAUCACAAGGGACCUGCUAGGGAGUCGCGUCUUUGUCUUUACUCCAAAAGGAGAGAUAAAAAACCUACCUAAGGGAGCUACGGUGGUUGAUUAUGCUUAUAUGAUACACACCGAGAUUGGGAACAAAAUGGUGGCUGCAAAGGUCAAUGGUAAUCUUGUCUCUCCCAUGCAUGUACUUGCAAAUGCUGAAGUUGUGGAGAUAAUUACAUACAAUGCUCUCUCAAACAAAUCUUCUGUCCAAAGGCAUCAGCAGUGGUUGCAACAUGCAAAGACCCGAUCUGCUCGACACAAGAUUAUAAAAUUCUUGAGAGAACAAGCUGCACUAGCUGCUGCUGAAAUGAAGGCAGAUACUGUAAAUAACUCAGUUGCUGAUAUUGAGGAUGAGAGUACAUCGGUUGACUUAUCCAACUGUGUUGAAGAAAGCAACCCCAUUUGGAAGCAAAUCCUUGGGAAUGCUGCAGAAUUCUCUACUUUGGAGAGAAGCCAUGAAGAUGUCCUUCACAUUCAAAAUGGCAGUGUUAGAAUCCCUAAGGUCAAUGGCAACCAUAACAAGAAUGUGCAGCAUAUGAGUUUUAAGACCAAUGAAGAAUGGUUUCAAGGAAAUGGUUUCGCCAAGUUGAUCCAUACUAACAUUCCAAUGUACAAGGAAGUAUUGCCUGGUUUAGAAAGCUGGCAAGCUGGGAAGGUUGCCUCUUGGCACAACCUCGAAGGGCAUUCAAUUCUUUGGUUCUCUGUAGUAUGUAUCGAUCGAAGAGCUUUGGUAUUUUAAACUGAACAACCAAACUUCAGGUAUGAUGGCGGAUAUUUCAUCCAUAUUGACCACUGUGGGAAUUGCUAUUUGUUCGUGCGUUGCAGAGAUUGACAGAAGAAGAGGAAUGGGUGUGCUGUUAUUUCACAUUGAGGGUAGCUUUGGCAGUCUGAUUAAUGCUUGCUCAAGUGUAGACCUGAUUCCUGGUGUUCUAUGCUGGUCUACUGGUUGUAGCUGGCCAAGCUACAAUGGACAGACAUUUCUUGAAUGCUAACUUGUUAGGGGGCGAAACCCAUACUACAUAAAGUGAAUUAGGGUGUGAAUAGGAGAUUUUUGCUCAUGGGACCAGUAAUCUGGUAUGUUUUUGUAGUGGGUUUUGAGAUUAGUUACAUUCCUUGGUUCAUAUUUUUUGGUAAGCAAUUCUCAUUUAUUUUUUCAAAGCCCGGAGAGAUAUGCAGCAACAGCAGUUAAAUGAGCUUGUAUAUAGAGAAGAGUGCUAGGAAUUAGACAUUCUUUACUAUGGAUUUGUGUGAUUGUAAAUGCUCUUUCUUUCUUGCAAGGUGGUAAUACAAAAUAUUUAUACAACAGGUUAUAGACAUUCUUUA